rnacentral:lncRNA from 1 species
ACAUUUAUGAAUUGUAUUUUUCAGAUGGAGAAACUGAGGCAGCACGUGGUUAAUUGUUUUUCCCCACCUUCCACAUGUAUGAAACAUCAAAUUUGAAAUUACCAUUUAUGAAUAUCUUCUGCCUUCCAGCUCUGUGCUGCAGAAAGAAAUUGCCAGUGGAUGAGAUGGAAGAGUAUCCUAACAUAUUCAGGGGAUGACUAUCAGAGUCUGUGGCUACACUGGAGUUGGAAGAUUGUUGUAGUCAAAGAAUCCAUUGAACUUUGGCCUUUGUGGACAGUUAACCUGGGAAUGGAGCAGCACCGUAUGCAUCCGUCCUUUCCAUCAAGGAAAAGCAAACCUUUUCAGAAACACACCUUCCAAUAACUUCUUAAGCCUCCCUGCUUAAUCCUGAGUCAAAAGGUACCCUGCCCCCCUGCCCCCAACUUCAAGAAAACAAGGGACAAGACUGUCAAGAGUGACCAAGACAAAUCCUGAUCCAUUGCCUAUGUCUGGGCAUAGUGACCUUUGCACAAGAUUGGAGUUCUAUUAGCAAGGAAGCAAGGUGGGAAAUGAACAUUGCAAAAAGGUAGUUAACACAGGGUGUUCGACUACUGACGUUCUUCCAUAGAAACAAUAUUGGGACAUUGGUAUAUUGGCAUAUUUAUAUAUUUUUACCUCUUGCAAAUAUAGUAAACGUAUUCUUUAC